rnacentral:rRNA from 1 species
GACGAACGCUGGCGGCGUGCUUAACACAUGCAAGUCGAACGGAAAGGCCCCUUUGGGGGUACUCGAGUGGCGAACGGGUGCGUAACACUUGCGUAACCUGCCCUUGACUUCGGGAUAACUUCAGGAAACUGGGGCUAAUGCUGAUACGGAAUCCUAGCUUUAAGCUGGGGUUUGAAAUGUUCAGGGGGUUUUGGAUGGACUCCGGGCUUAUCCGCUUUUUGGUGGGGUAGUGGUUUACCAAGGCUUUGACGGGUAGCCGGCCUCAGAGGGGGACCGGCCACAUUGGGACUGCGAUACGGCCCAGACUCCAACGGGAGGCAGCAGUGGGGAGUAUUGCACAAUGGGCGGAAGCCUGAUGCAGCAGCGCCGCGUGCGUGAUGACGGCCUUCGGGUUGAAAACCGUUUUCAGCAGGGGCGAAGCUUGUGGUGACGGUACCUGCAGAAGAAGCACCGGCUAACUACGUG